CUGAAAUAUUAAACUGAACAAUACUUCACUAGAAUGACAAGAGGAACGUAUGUCACGGGGAUAUUCUUAUAAGACCGCGCUCGCUUUGAAUGAAAUCUGAAAUAAAUGGUGAAGAAAUACUAAGUGGUAACAGCCUCGUGGAUUUAAUGGGUCCUGGAGAGUAAUUACUACAUUACACUAUACAAAUACACAAGAAAAUAAGAGGUAAGAAAGACUAAUUACACUAAUCAAAAUCAAAAUGGUAAAAAAAAAAAAAAAGUACCAAUAGAAAGAACAGAAACCUGAUACUCCUGCGCUUGCCUUUUGUCAUCUGUCUCCCAUCAUGCUCAGCGGCGCCAACUGACUGCCACCACGUGUCAUGGAGGCAGAGUUUGGAGUCACGCAGCGCUACAAGGUUUCCCUGGCACUCGGCACCACCGGAAGUGUUACAUAGCAGUGAUGAGGGUCUGCACCGCACCGAUGAAGUGUGUGCCCGGCAGCCUACAAGUAUGCCAGAUCUCAGCUCAGUCAGUGGUGAGCUGGUUCUUCUAUUUAAAUGCAGUGGGUGCUGCGUUCCCUCACUUCACCACGAUGGCUGUUGAACUCUGAAAAGACAAAAGAAUGUUACAGUAUACGUAAAACAGUGAGAAUCUGUAAUGGGGGCGUGAUGCUGGCCGUGAGUGGGACCAGGAGGUGCACACCAUACUUGCUUCCU